UACAGAGGGGGCAAGCGUUUGUUCGGAAUUACUGGGCGUAAAGCGCACGUAGGCGGAUAUUUAAGUCAGGGGUGAAAUCCCAGAGCUCAACUCUGGAACUGCCUUUGAUACUGGGUAUCUUGAGUAUGGAAGAGGUGAGUGGAAUUCCGAGUGUAGAGGUGAAAUUCGUAGAUAUUCGGAGGAACACCAGUGGCGAAGGCGCUCACUGGUCCAUAACUGACGCUGAGGUGCGAAAGCGUGGGGAGCAAACAGG
rnacentral:rRNA from 1 species